CCCACAGCUCCCUUUCUCCUUCCCAGGCAGUCAUAGAUAGAUAGAUGUACACACACACACAUCCACGAGGCCCUGCCUUCCCUGCAUAUGAUGGCGGGAUCAAAAACUGCUCCCCUCUCCCUUCAGCUGGGGUUGGAUAGAGCUGUCCCCACCCUCCCCGGGCCAGACAGGGUUAGCGGAGUUUAACACCCACCACAAUAAAGCACACUUGAGCCUUGGCUCUCUCCUAGGCCAGUGGCUGUUUCUGAGCUCAGCUGAUCCUGCCCACACCCAGCGGGAUGGUUUGAUUUCUGCCCUGGCUGAGCAGGGCGAGGGUGUGGUGUUUGACACCCACCAACGGCCAAACAAGGUAGGCGUUCCUCUUAGAGACAAGUCAGAGCAAACCAUGUGCAAGUUCCUUCGCCAGGAGGGAGUCAUGGAGUCCCCUGCAUUUCCCCAGGCCUCUCUCACUCUGUGGCAGCUUGGCAGCCAUAGCCAGUUCCACCUUCUCAGCUGCUAUUGCUCUGGGAACAAAUGGCUUCUCAAGCCAGUUCUGUACAUUAGCAGCAUGUGCUUCACUGAGAGGCCAGAGCCGGUCUCAGCAGCUGAGGAUGUAGAAGGGGCAUAGGGAGGCCAGGGGGCAAAAGAACUGAGCCUUCCUACCAGCUGAGAAUGUCCAGCUCAACACACCCAGCUUGCGAGGAGCAACAGAAACAAACCCUCAUUAAAGCCCCUAAUAACAAAGAUACUGGUGAUUCCUAACUGCACCAUUAUGGGACGGUUCCAUUGACCUCUCUCUGCACUGUAUCAUCUGAUGUAGGGUCGGUCCUGCUCAUACAGCACAUCUGUUGGCUUUGAUGGCAGCCCCCACAUGCUUUGGCCCCCAGACUCUGAGCUCUAUGGGGCAGAGACUCGAGUUGUGUACAGAGAGGGCCAAGCACACCGAUGGCACACAAAAUAACGGCUGGAAUUUCAAUACAAGGAUGGGCGCUGGUGAAUGAGAAGCUAUGGAGACUGGGGAGCUUGGAUCCCCAGGAGAGAAAUGGAGCUGUGUUUGCUGUGGGCCAAGAGUCAGCAGCACCAGGCUUUACACACGAGAGCAGCGAAAGGAGGAGAGACAUAGACUGAGCAAGAGGCCAAGUUCCUUCCAGAUUUGAGUCCUGUCCAUUCCAGCCUGAUGAGCCCCUACAUUCUCCUUCCUGGACAUCAAGCACCUCUGGAAACCUGCGCUACAUAUUGGCACACCCUGGGGGAAUCAUGGAGGGAAGGGCUCUUUCCUUUCUGUCCCAGCAACCCACUGGGCGGCAGUGCCCAGGUCCUGGGGGUAGCUAGACACAGCACUUCCAACAUUCCCUCUCAGUUUCCUGUCAAUGGGACUGUACCAAACCCCUGGAUUGGAAUCCCCAGCAGGAACAUGGAGGACUCUGAAAUCCCAUCCCAGACCUGGGUCAGAAGUUUGCUAAAGGCUUUGAUCAUGACUCAAAACAUGAGUCAAAACAAAGCUCUGGAGCCAAGAGACUUUGGAGGUUGUGGCUGGAGCUCAGAUCUCUCAACUGUGGAAGGUGCAUUUCUCUUUGGUGUCCCUAACACACAUGGGAGAAUCUAAGAGCCAUUCCGACAAUGCUUGAAACCCUAAGGCGGGCAUAUGAGUGGGCUGGCCCCAUGGCUGCUCUAUAGUCUGUCUUUCGAACCUGAUGAGAAUCACCCCAUCCAGGCAGCGAUCCCAGUACCCCUCUCCCCACUGUGCAAGCGGGUAGUUUUCCCACUCUUCUAGCAUAGGAGGCGCUGGUAUCUGUCUGUGUGUCCCCUCAGCAGCCAUAGGAUGGGUGAUGGGAGGGGCAGAUGGGCCUAUGGGACCUUGAUCCCAUCCCCUCCAAAACCUGCAAUACCCACAAUGUUCUCAUGUCCCCAGUGUAUGGGCUGCAACCUCCCAUGCCUCUCAGUCCUGCCCUGGAGGGAACCCUCUCUAGUAUGAGAGUGGCCCGUUAAGCUGUGGCUGUUUGCUCCCUCUGACUGCCCAUAAGGGUGGAGCCAAAUUAAGGCCAACUGCAGUGGGGAUUUUGGGGAUAUAGAUGCUUGUCCUGCUAGAAACUGAACUAAGACAUGUAAACUCACCACCCAUGGGGGCUAUCAGAUGGGAAUGGCUUCAGGUCACUGCUGAUCUGGGCUGCUUUCAAACCAGUGCCCUUGGGAGCAAAUGUCUACUUUUCUUCAGAGAUGUUUCCCUCUUGACCGCAUACUAUACAUCCUAGACCUGCCCAUUGCCUAGGUCCACCUCCACAGCCAUUCCCUGCUUUCCACCUAGCACGGCCUUGGCUCUUCCACCUCUACCUCUGCACAGAGAAGUUCUCCCUAAGUUGCAAACAGUGCAAGCCCUUGUCUCGUUCCUGUUUUGGCCUGGGAAUCAGCUGGUCCCAGCUGAGGCUUCUGAACUCCCUUAUGAUACAAGGGCCUCUGGAAGCAUCCCCAGAAGCCCAAAACUGCAUGGAAUUUGAAACUGCAGAGAGUCGGUUGCUAAGAGGGAGUCUACGGCUGUGCAGCUGUGGAGGCUGCCUGCCUGCCUGCCUGCCUUGUAGUUUUCCUGUUAGUCACAAAAAUGUUUCUCUGUAGGAAAUGGACAUUAAAGGCCUGGACCUGCUGCAUUUCUGCACCCACCUGGAAUGGGCUCUGGAUGCAGCCCUGAGAGGAGGAGAAGAACUGGACUGGAUUUCUGAGCCCAUGGGGAAUGGGCUCAUGAGAGCUGGGGAACUCAUUUGUCAAACACAGGCCCACAGGACAACCAAAUUCCUCAGGGCGGCAAGUUAUAUGGGCCCGUGGUGCCCAUGCUACAGGAAUAUUCAGGACCCGGAGGCCCAGCUCCACCAAUGUUCAGGGAUGGGUCUCUCCCCUGGCCCCACCUGCUUCCCCCACGUGCCUCCCCCAGUGCAUCUCCCGACCCUGCCUGCCGCCCCCAGGCAUUUAAAAGGGCCCAGGUGACCCCAGCCACCACUAGCAGCGUAGUGGGGCUAAGGUGGCUUCCUGCCCGCCCUCAUUCCGCAACACUCCUGGAAGCAGCCGACACAUCUCUGUAGCCCUGGGGGGAUGUGUAUGUUCACGCACUGCCCCCGCCCUGAGUGCCAACUCCUCAGUCCCUUUGGCUGGGAACCAUGGUCAAUGGGAGCUGUGGGGGUGGUGCCUGUGAGCAGCGGUGCACGGAGACUCCCUGACCUCCCCCACCUAGGAGACGCUGCAAGAGGGGUGUGUGGGUUGCUUUUGGGGAGCUGUCUGAGGUGCCUGGGAGGAGGAAGAUGCUGGACAGAAGGAAAGAAAGAGCAAAGAACAAACAGCCAGGGAGGGAAGGGAGGGAGAAAGCAAAGCAAGAAGAGGACGAGGAAGGGAAGGCAAGAGGAGGUAGAGUUGAUGCUAUUAA